rnacentral:rRNA from 1 species
AUUGAACGCUGGCGGCAUGCUUUACACAUGCAAGUCGAACGGUAACAGGCCGCAAGGUGCUGACGAGUGGCGAACGGGUGAGUAAUGCAUCGGAACGUGCCCAGUCGUGGGGGAUAACGCAGCGAAAGCUGCGCUAAUACCGCAUACGAUCUCUGGAUGAAAGCGGGGGACCGUAAGGCCUCGCGCGAUUGGAGCGGGCGAUGUCAGAUUAGGUAGUUGGUGGGGUAAAGGCUCACCAAGCCAACGAUCUGUAGCUGGUCUGAGAGGACGACCAGCCACACUGGGGCUGAGACACGGCCCAGACUCCUACGGGAGGCAGCAGUGGGGAAUUUUGGACAAUGGGCGCAAGCCUGAUCCAGCAAUGCCGCGUGCAGGAAGAAGGCCUUCGGGUUGUAAACUGCUUUUGUACGGAACGAAACGGUCCUGGUUAAUACCCGGGGCUAAUGACGGUACCGUAAGAAUAAGCACCGGCUAACUACGUGCCAGCCGCCGCAGUAACAC